UACGGGGGGGGCAAGCGUUGUUCGGAAUUACUGGGCGUAAAGGGCUCGUAGGCGGCCAACUAAGUCGGAUGUGGAAUCCCCAGGCUCAACCUGGGAACUGCAUCCGAUACUGGAUGGCUUGAAUUCGGGAGAGGGAUGCAGAAUUCCAGGUGUAGCGGUGAAAUGCGUAGAUAUCAGGAGGAAUACCGAUGGCGAAGGCAGGUCUCUGGGCUGACACUGACGCUCAUGCACGAAAGCGUGGGGAGCAAACAGG
rnacentral:rRNA from 1 species